rnacentral:rRNA from 1 species
AUGAACGCUGGCGGCGUGCCUAAUCCAUGCAAGUCGAGCGAACGGACGAGAAGCUUGCUUCUCUGAUGUUAGCGGCGGACGGGUGAGUAACACGUGGAUAACCUACCUAUAAGACUGGGAUAACUUCGGGAAACCGGAGCUAAUACCGGAUAAUAUUUUGAACCGCAUGGUUCAAAAGUGAAAGACGGUCUUGCUGUCACUUAUAGAUGGAUCCGCGCUGCAUUAGCUAGUUGGUAAGGUAACGGCUUACCAAGGCAACGAUGCAUAGCCGACCUGAGGGGGUGAUCGGCCACACUGGAACUGAGACACGGUCCAGACUCCUACGGGAGGCAGCAGUAGGGAAUCUUCCGCAAUGUGCGAAAGCCUGACGGAGCAACGCCGCGUGAGUGAUGAAGGUCUUCGGAUCGUAAAACUCUGUUAUUAGGGAAGAACAUAUGUGUAAGUAACUGUGCACAUCUUGACGGUACCUAAUCAGAAAGCCACGGCUAACUACGUG